UCGAGAAUCUUCCGCAAUGGGCGCAAGCCUGACGGAGCGACGCCGCGUGCGGGAUGAAGGCCUUCGGGUUGUAAACCGCUGUCAGUGGGGAGCAAAUCGGUGGGGGCAAUCCCCCAUUGUUGAGCGAUCCGCAGAGGAAGCACAGGCUAAGUUCGUGCCAGCAGCCGCGGUAACACGAACUGUGCAAACGUUAUUCGGAAUCACUGGGCUUAAAGAGUCCGUAGGCGGCUCGGUAGGUGGGGUGUGAAAGCCCACGGCUCAACCGUGGAAUUGCGCCCCAAACCAUCGGGCUCGAGGGAGAUAGAGGAGAGCGGAACUGAUGGUGGAGCGGUGAAAUGCGUUGAUAUCAUCAGGAACACCGGUGGCGAAAGCGGCUCUCUGGGUCUCUUCUGACGCUGAGGGACGAAAGCUAGGGGAGCGAACGGGAUUAGAUACCCCCGUAGUCC
rnacentral:rRNA from 1 species